CGCCUCCCGGCAGUUCCGGUGGGUCCGUCCCCCCCCGCCUGGGCCGGCGCCGCCACACGGGCGGCUCUGAGCGCGCCCGGCCGAGCCAUGGCCCAGCCCGCCGGGGCCCCCACCGGCCAGCAGCCCUACAGCAACGGCCCUGUUCAGAAUCAGCUGAUGCAUUCCCCAGAUGGCCAGGGAUACAGCCCUGCGGUUCCAGGAUCGUACUCCCAUCAGAUGCCGGCCAAGGUUCCUCCACAUCAGUCUUCUGGACAGUAUAGCUAUAGUGGCUCUCAGAAUGUUUCUCAAUUAAACAAUUACCAAGGACCUGGCCAGACUCUCAACAGACCACCAGUGGCAGCUUUCUCCGGGUCACCAGUACAACAGCCAGGUCCUGUUCCACAAGGGCUGCUGCCUGUAUUACAGAACUCAGCUGCUGUAUCAUCUGCUGGGAGCUUUCCUCCUGGAGCCAGCCCACCGGUGCUUUCAAACUGGCAGUACAGCCAGCCUCCUGUGAGUCAGCCACUUGGGGCUCAAACAAGCCCUUUGGCUGGUGUGCCUGGGACAGGGUCAGCUCAGCCACCAUCGUCAUUACCAGGAAGUACAAAUCCUGCAGGGAGUUAUCAAUAUGCUGCUUCUCCAGGGGCUCCUCUGCUGCAGAAUAGCUACAUGAAGCCAGGAUCUGCGCCUCCACCAGUGACUCAGCCUUUAACUCCACUCCACCCUCCAAGGCCACCUUUAGGACCUCCACCAGUUGGGGGCUCACCUAGGCCAUCAACAGCGGUAGCAGGACCACCUAGCGCACAGUUUCUGCAAAAAUCAGCUGCAAACCAAGAAGGUGAUGCCAUGCCUGCUGCCAGUGAUGGGUCUGUAGUGCAAAACAGCUACGAUGCUAUAGAAGGUGGUGGCCUCAUGGCAGCUCCACAUUAUUCUCCUGCAGCCCCAAAUCUUAAAAUGAAUAGAAGUGUUGGGUAUUCUUACCCUGCCUUACCUCCAGGCUACCAACAUACUUCUCCACCUGGAGCACCAGGAAUGAAUGCAUCUGCUUUGCAAUAUCCAGAUGGAUCAAAACAUUUCCACCAGCCUGCCAUGGGCACUAAUCACUUAACUGCAUCAAUGGGUGGCCUGAGUCUACAGCAAGAAGGGUUAAGACCUGUGAAUCUUCUUCAAGAAAGAAAUAUUCUUCCUACCACCCUUUUGAAGGCUCCUGUCCCCAACUUGCAUGAAGACAUCCAGAAGCUCAACUGCAAUCCUGAGUUGUUCCGCUGUACCCUGACUAACAUUCCUCAAACUCAGGCCUUAUUGAAUAAAGCCAAACUUCCUUUGGGGCUCCUGCUUCAUCCUUUCAAAGACUUAUCGCAACUGCCAGUGGUCACUUCCAGUAUUAUUGUGAGAUGCCGUUCCUGCCGGACGUACAUCAACCCUUUUGUCAGCUUCCUAGACCAAAGGAGAUGGAAAUGCAAUUUGUGCUAUAGAGUCAAUGAUGUUCCUGAAGAAUUCCUGUAUAAUCCUGUGACAAGAGUUUAUGGAGAACCUCAUAAAAGACCUGAAGUCCAGAAUGCUACUAUUGAGUUUAUGGCUCCAUCUGAAUACAUGCUGCGUCCACCUCAACCACCCGUGUACCUCUUUGUGUUUGAUGUCUCUCACAAUGCAAUAGAGACAGGAUACUUGGAUACAGUCUGCCAGACCUUGUUAGACAAUCUUGAUUCGCUUCCUGGGAACACUAGAACAAAAAUAGGCUUCAUAACGUUUGACAGCACAAUCCAUUUCUAUGGUCUUCAGGAAGGUCUCUCUCAGCCUCAGAUGCUUAUAGUUUCAGAUAUUGAAGAUGUAUUUAUACCAAUGCCAGAAAACUUAUUAGUAAAUUUAAAUGAAAAUAAAGAGCUAAUUCAAGAUCUGCUGAAGACAUUGCCACAGAUGUUUACCAAGUCCCUGGAAACUCAGAGUGCUCUGGGGCCUGCAUUACAGGCUGCCUUUAAACUGAUGUCCCCCACUGGAGGUAGAAUCACUGUCUUCCAGACACAGCUCCCAUCUGUGGGAAUGGGAGCACUGAAGUCACGAGAAGAGCCAAACCAAAGAGCAACAGCAAAGGAUAUACAUUUGACACCAUCGACUGAUUUUUACAAGAAGCUGGCCUUGGACUGCUCAGGGCAACAGGUUGCAGUGGAUUUAUUUCUUCUUAGUGGGCAAUAUUCUGACUUGGCUUCUCUAGGUUGUAUAUCAAGGUAUUCUGCAGGUAGUGUCUACUACUACCAGUCUUACCAUCGUAAACACAACCCUGUCCAGGUGGAGAAAUUGCAGAAGGAACUGAAGCGAUAUUUAACUAGAAAAAUUGGGUUUGAGGCUGUCAUGAGGAUAAGAUGCACAAAAGGUCUUUCCAUUCAUACUUUCCAUGGGAACUUCUUCGUACGAUCUACAGACUUGUUGUCAUUACCCAACGUAAACCCAGAUGCAGGAUACGCUGUGCAAAUGUCAGUGGAAGAGAGUCUUACUGAUAUGCAAGUUGUUUCUUUUCAAUCAGCUCUCCUGUACACCUCCAGCAAAGGUGAAAGACGAAUUCGUGUCCACACCAUGUGCUUACCUGUUGUCACAACACUGAGUGAUGUGUACCUAGGGGCAGAUGUGCAGGCCAUCACAGGGCUCUUAGCCAAUAUGGCUGUGGACCGCUCCGUUUCCGCUACACUGAGCGAUGCUCGGGAUGCCCUGGUCAAUGCAGUGAUAGAUUCUUUAGCUGCUUAUCGCUCAUCCGUGCUGAGCAUCCAGCAGCCUGGGCUCACAGCUCCCUACUCACUGCGCCUCUUCCCACUUUAUAUACUGGCACUCUUAAAACAGAAAGCAUUUCAAACUGGGACAAACACACGUUUGGAUGAACGCAUCUUCACCAUGUGUCAGGUGAAAAACCAGCCCCUUGUUUACCUCAUGCUCAUGACACAUCCCAGUCUGUACAAAGUCGAUAAUCUCACAGAUGAGGGGGCUCUUAACAUAAAUGACAGAACUAUACCUCAGCCACCCCUUCUCCAGCUGUCAGUGGAGAAGCUGAGUAGGGAUGGUGCUUAUCUUAUGGAUGCUGGCUCUGUGAUGUUUCUGUGGAUUGGGAAGAACUGUGGGCAGGGCUUUAUCACCCAAGUCCUUGGAGUUCCAAAUUAUGGCUCAAUACCACAGAAUAUGACACAUCUCCCAGAACUUGAAACGGCAGAAUCCAUCAGAACACGAGCUUUCAUUUCUUGGCUGAGAGAACAGAGACCUUUCUUUCCUAUACUAUAUAUAAUAAAGGAUGAGAGUCCACUGAAAUCAAGUUUUCUGCAAAAUAUGAUUGAAGACAGAACAGAAUCAGCCUUAUCAUACUAUGAAUUCCUCCUUCAUAUACAGCAGCAAGUGAAUAAAUGAAACACAAGCCUUUGGCUUACUUCUUUAAGGAAAGAUUUUGCAGUAAAGAAUGAUUGUGCUUAUAAUAUCUUCAUUAAAUCUGUGGCCUGAGGCAGUUGAUGAGAAGUUCUCACUGUGAUUUCAACGAACUAAAGCAAAUAAAGGACCACAUCUGAGAAUCAAAUGUGCAACUACAUAUUGUACCUUAAAAAAAAUCAAACUGUUGGAACUGGUUGAGCACCUUUAAUUUGCUGCAAAUCGUGUUUUUACUAUAUAAAACCUCACAAUACUGAUCAUGAUUUGCAGGGAAAUUCUUUCUAAGUGCAUCCAGUGAUUACAGACAGAGCAUCUCAAUGUUCAACUUAAUGCUUAAAAUAGCAAUGAAAGAAGUGUUCAUUGUGAAAUGAACAAAUGCUUGUGAAGUGUAGAAUCCAGUGCUUGGAUUGGAUUAUGGCUAAUAGGACUAAAGUGGAGAAGGCCUGCUCUGCUUCACUUGUACUGCUCUAAUGGCAAUACAGGGAACAUGAACACACACACUACUUGUGAUUGCUUUUUUACAUACAAUUGAAAAAUGAGGACCCUGAAGAUGGACUGCAAAAGUAGGCAAGAAUGGUUUGGUACUUAGAUCUCAGCACAACUCUACCACUAUAAAUGUGUGGUAGAGGUGUGUUUCUCUUUGUAGUCAAACACUUUUUUAAAAACUAUUUCUGUAUUUGACACAUUAGUGUUCAGCCAACAUUGUUACCAUCCAUUUUAUUUUACUUUCAUUAUUAUUUUUAAAUUAAUAUAUUUGAGUCUAAGUCCACAUAGACUGUGUUGCAAUAAUUAGAAUGAUUCACUUUUAUUUAGAGUUAAUUUCUUAACAGAAUUUAAUCAAAGAUGCAGAAUGGCUGUUAAGUUAAGGGACCAUUAAAUGUGAUUUUAAGGUUCUGUUUACUAUUCUGGAUGUAAUCCUUAUAGUAAAUUUAAUUUUGUAAAGUAGUGUAUAAUAUUGUAAUAUUAAAUCUUUGUUCUCUGAACUCAAAGAUUUGAUCUUCAGUAUGAAGUUAUAAAUCUUUCCCCUUCUGAAUUUGAGACAGGAUUUACUUGUCCUCCUUUUUACAGUUUGUAAUUUUCACUGUUUUAUUCCUGUAAAAAGUCAUUUAUAACACAUGCAAAUGCUUAUUUUAUCUGUGCUAAUUUAUCAGAUUU